UGGCCCUUACGACCAGGGCUACACACGUGCUACAAUGGCGCAUACAAAGAGAAGCGACCUCGCGAGAGCAAGCGGAUCUCAUAAAGUGCGUCGUAGUCCGGAUUGGAGUCUGCAACUCGACUCCAUGAAGUCGGAAUCGCUAGUAAUCGUGGAUCAGAAUGCCACGGUGAAUACGUUCCCGGGCCUUGUACACACCGCCCGUCACACCAUGGGAGUGGGUUGCAAAAGAAGUAGGUAGCUUAACCUUCGGGAGGGCGCUUACCACUUUGUGAUUCAUGACUGGGGUGAAGUCGUAACAAGGUAACCGUAGGGGAACCUGCGGUUGGAUCACCUCCUUACCUUAAAGAAGC
rnacentral:rRNA from 1 species